AGACUGGAAAGUGGAUCCAAAGCCCAUGGUGAGAAUCCCUGUAGGGAGAGCUGAGCAUGCACCUCCACCAUCCUUCCACAGCAGUAGCAAAGAGUCAGAGAAUUACUUGGACCACCUGACGGGGAGUUUGAGGAGCAGAGAGAAUGGUACCUGCAUUCUCCUGGGUGAGUCCGAUGGUGAGCUUAUGGUGCCUUGCAGGCACUGCAUGUGGGAAGUGUGGUGUUCUGAGGGUCAUUUGUAGACAGAAUGGAUGCUCUCAAUUUCUAAGUUCUUCUGCCUGUGAGACCUCCUGAGGGAAGAGUACUGACAGCAUCUGUGGCAGGCUACCAAGAGGUAGGCACGGAGAAGUUAAUCGCAGGCAGCCUGGCCAGGAAGCCCUAGUGAGUCCAUGUCAGGUAUCCUCACAGACACGAAUAUCCAAAGAACUCCUUUGAGGAGGAUUUUUUCUUACCUCUUUAUCUCUUUUCUUGCUUUCCAACCCUGCAGGAUUCAUAAAAGAUCACAGUGAAAGGGGAUAAAUAUAAGAGUUGGGAGGAAUUGAGAAAAAAAGGGUAGCCAUAUUCUCCUUCCCCUCUAUAGGUUUUACAAUCAGGGCCAAGCAAGGAAUUAGAUCUCCAAGCUUCAGUGGGAGGCUAAGCUAUGGUUUGUACUGCCUGAGAAAUGAGAUGCCUUGCUAAUAACUGAGAAUGAAUGCGAAACACAGCAUCCACCCAAGAUCUCAUGCUAGGACAGAAGAGAAUGAUUAAGAGUACAGGUUUACUAGUCAGUGGUGAGAAAGAAUGAAAUGGAGUUAACACAAUGAACUGGCUACUUGAGGACUCAGUUCUUUCCAGAUUUUCACCUCAGGCUGGUCUUCUACUGAUGUCUGGGAAAGAACUACUUUCUCAGUUACUGUCAUGCUGUGGCUCACCUUUAGCUCUGAUGUGGAAGGGAUUGGUUAAGGGUUAUUCUUCUCCUGGGAGACUGUCCAGAAUUGUGUGGUGUUUUGUCUUUGCGUGAACUGAAAAUAGAAUUCUUUUGAGCAUUAGGUGGAGUAGAUUAUCAGCGAGAAGGUGAAAUUUUUUUUUUCAGUUUUGCUACCCAAAUUGUGCCUCUGCAAUGGGAGACAACUACACUUGUCUGAGCAGAGCCACUCACUGGGAUACUGAGUCUGCUGCGGAUGCAGGACUUGGACUUUCCAAGAAAUCCAGCUUUAAAAUCUUUCUUAAUUCAAAGGGGGAAAAAAGCCCAUGUCAAUUGACUUAUGUGUUUGGGAAUCAUUUUCUGUGAUGUGGCUUAUCAACUUAAAAUUUAAGUGAGAUAAAUUCAAAUUAACUAUAUUUCACUCCUUUGAGUGAUGAUGACGAAGAUCAGUGUAGAUUGCCUUUUUAAGUUAGGAAGAAAAUUGUGUUUCAGCUUGAACCAUAUCACAUUGCUAUUACUCAACCCCUUUGUUAUAUUUAACCAUUUUAAAAAGGAAAAUAUCAAUUUUGUGUGGUUCAGCCUAAUAUUGAUGUUCUAAAGAUAUUUCUGGUAUUUUCUUGCUGUAAAUACUCUUCUAUUUGAAUAAUAAUAUGUUAGUCUAGGCCUUUCUUUUUUAUUUUUUUAAAAUAACUUCAUUAUCAAACACACACACAUACAAAAGAUUGAAACCAUUCAAAGAAGAACAAUGCAAGGGGAAAAAACCCACAAUAAUAUUCAAACACAGUAGAAUUCAACCAAAACAAAUAGGUCUUUCAUUUUUGAUUCCUUUCCCUCCCUCCCUCCCUCCCUUCCUUCUUUCUUUUGCAUUACUGAGGAUUGAACCCAGAACCUUUGCUCUGAGCUACAUGCCCAGCCCCCAGGGUUUUUUACUAUUUGAUUUUUUUUCUUAAAUUCUUUUAUUGGUGCAUUUUAGGUACACAACACAAUUACAUUUCUCAUUGGGAAUUGUACCUUUACAUGAUGCAUCUUGGUUCUUAUUUUUUCCCCAUUCCUAGCCCUCCCUUCACCCCCUCCAUCCUUCCUUAUUUACUAAGACUUUAUUUCCAUUUUUUCCAUUUCUCAUUAUUUUUCCUUUCCCUUCUUUCCUUUCCCCUGCCCCUCCCACUACCCCUACCCCUUUAGACCUUUUCUUCCUAUUUUGCAUUCUCAAUUAUUCAUUCUAACAUUGAGGCCAUACUCUUAAGUGAAAUAAAUAGGACACACAUGUAUAAAUACCGAAUAGUUUCUCUGGUGUGAGAAACUGAAAGUGUAAAUAAGGACUAAAAGGUAUAAUAGGUAAUGUGAAAUAGGAAGAAAAGGGGCAAAGGGGAAGGAAGUGGGAGGGCUAGGGGAAAGGAAAGAAGGGAAUGGAAUUAAUAUGGGAAAAUGGAAAAAUAGGAACAAAAUCUUUGUAAAUAGGGAGGAAUAGAGGGGUUGAAGGGAAGGCAGGGGAAGGGUGAAAAAUAAGAACCAAGAGAGUAUGUAAAGGUGCAAAUUUCCAACAGUGAAUGCUAUUAUACUGUACACCUAAACUGUGCCAAAGAUUCGAAUGAAUAAUCACUAUUGGAUUUUGAGACAAGGCCUCAGUAAGUGCCAAGCUGCCCAGGCUGGGCUUGAACUCGCAAUCUUCCUGCCUCAGCCUCCCGGAGUGUUUUGCUUUUACAUUAUUUUCAGUUACUUCACGCUAUCAGAGGAGUGCAUUGGCUGCAAUUGAUACCAAGGAGAACUUGAAUAUUAAGUCUAGGCUAGGCAUAAACAUGCAUCUGGUUAUGAUUGGCCUUUCCUGCUCUCCACUUGCAUAAUUCAACUUGAUGCUGCAUACUUCUUUUUUCUUUUAUUCUAGUCCAUAUGGUGGCACAACAACCACCAAAAGGUGAAUACUUUCAGUGCCUUUCAUAUCAAAGCCACAGCUUUCACAUUCUGUUCUAUUGAUUCUGCCUUUUGGCAGUGAAUAAAGGUAUGCAGUUAAAGUCUGUGCCCAUAAUUGGUUUUAUUUGGGAAGGAUUUUCUUUUGAACUGGUGGCCACCCAUGCUUUUCUAAUUAUCAGAAAUUAAUUCACUCAGCAUUCCUUGUAGGAAAUACAGUUCACUUCCUUGCUUUUGGAAGAAAAAGAAAAGGAAAGAACUAAGGAGUAUUAGGGAACUGCGUCUUACUCACCGUGUUCCCCGGGGGCGCUGUAAUACGGUGCUAAAGCUCCACCUGUCUGCAGGCAAGCACACUCUCCAAUCUUUGCACCUUUUCAGAACUCUACCCAGAAGAAAACUUCAAAGCAUUUUAUUUUAUAAAAAGUGAGAUAGUUCCAGUGUAAAUUCUCUGACAGGACUUGACUCAUAAAAGUUACCGAUAAAGCAUGACAGCUUUCUGCAGGGUACUGUUACAUGCAUUGCAGUAUGAUUGGAAAGGCAGAGCACUCCAAACCUAAGUCCAAAACUGCCAGCAGAGAUGUCUUUGUUCAGUGGACGAGACACUGAAGAUAAAAUCUCCGCCAGGCCCCGCAUGAUGCCCAGGGAACGGUGCCAUCCGUCAAACCUCUCUUCCUGAUGGGCGUGAAAUGUUUUGGGGAACUUUAAAUUCUUUUUCAUUAUAUUACCAAGAAUGUAACUACAGACUUUUUACAAAAUAAUUAUGCAAGGAGUGGAAACCUUACUGUGUAUGUCUCAUAAAUAAAAGGUAGACAGAAACCCUGGCCCAAGCAGUACUUGAGGUUACUUACGAAUGAAGGAUUUGUUUGCCCCAUCUCUUCCCAAGCCCAGAGUAAUAAAUCUCAAAAGCUUCAAUAUUGAUUCAACAAAGUGAACGGCUGAGUCAUUUCAGAGACUCAGACAGGCAGACAAAUGCUGCCAUGGUGACAUUUGGAAAUGCAG
rnacentral:lncRNA from 1 species